GUCAUGUUAAGUUAUAACUACCUAAAGGAAUACGUGUUCUGUGCCGUAACAUGAUCGACGACAUUGGUCCAUGUUGAAGAUCAUGGAUUGUCUAUUUCAUUCACCUGUAAGUGAAUAUAAAAUUAUCUCCCGAAAAACUGGUAAACUGACAGAAUGGUCAACGGCUAGAAAGUGACAACCACCGCUCAUGGGUGGGUACCAGUAACACCGGAGGACUUGCAGAAGACAAAUGUAACACGAGCGUGUAGUCCGCUUAGCCGCGACGGAGUUAGCAGUGAAAACGUCUUUGGCUUGUGCAACACCGGAUGAAAGAAACUUUGCCUAUUAUUCGUUAUUUUUGAUUUCAGGCAGACUAGCAGAGUCCGACGUACCACGGGAGAAUACAGGCCAUUCCGAUUCUGUUUUUAACAAAAACUCAGAAUCACACCCAUGUACCUGACGUGCGACUGGACAUCUAAGAGACGUCACAGCUGCUCUAGAUAACUUAGCUGCUAAGAGUGCUGCGCAUAGUUCUAGACGAGAGCCAAUUGCCGAUGACUACCUCCUGAGAAAAGUAUAUAGCUGACCGUAUGAACACAGAUACGGGAAUGGAGACGGCGCCGGAUGCCUCUGUGAAGCUUAUGCUCACAGACUCCGACGACAGUGACUACGUUACCGAUGGUGAAAACCAAUGCCGACCGCCGCGGUAAGAAGACGACGAGCGGGCUCGCUAAGGCGAAGACUCUGCUCAAGAAGAAACAGGAGGAGGAAAGGGAGAUCGCCUUCGAGAGGGCGCUCCGCAGCAGGGUCUUUAAGAAGGUGCCUGCUGACGCUUCAGCCCACGAGGUGCAGACGACGUCUACACGAGGAUCACGAAAGACGAGUACCCGUCCACUAUAAUAGAAGUCCUCAAAUUUGAAGGGAUGCUAUAUUGAAAAGCUAAAUGAGUCUGCAGCCUUUUAGGGUAUAAUUGAGACACUGAUUUUAUGAAGGGAAUGUCGCUGGAUAUCUCGUAUAAUCAAUCUUUUGUGGCAUUUUUAAUUUUAUAUAUACUUGAUAUAUUACAUUACAAAGUAAUAUAAUAUUGUUUGGUGGAAUCAACCGAGGAAUUGUUACUGAUUUGGAGUUGUUUGAGGCUCUGCUGUUUUGUGGAGGAGAGGCUGCUUGUCCAGUGGCCGGCUAUUGCUGCUUCGCACUGCAUUUAUUUAUUUGCUCACUCAUUGAGACUCAUUUGCUCAUUUGCUUCUUCCGCAUGAGUAGGCUAUACUAAUUUAGGGGAAAUGCAUAUUAAAACAACUACUGAUAAAUCUAUUAAAAGAAAGCCAUAUAGACUAUCUUAUCAAAACACAAUAAAUGAAAUAAAAAAGUUUUUAUAUAAAAUAAUUAAUAUAAAUUACGACGGAAACCCGAGUGGACGGCGUUAUGAAGCUGUACCAAUGGCUUGUGCCUACGCGCCGUCCACGAUCGUCGCAGCGGGCAGUGAUCUUUUACUUGCGUUACCCUUCACUAGUGAUAUAUUUCGAUCGCCCUAAAAAUAAUUGUAUUCUGUAUGUAAAUUUAUGUUAAUGCGAUUCCGAUUAUUCCUUCUGUUUUGAUUACUGUGAUUGACUUUAUAUGUAUGUUAGUGUU